rnacentral:misc_RNA from 1 species
GUGAAUCAUCGAAUUUUUGAACGCAAAUUGCGCUUCCUGGCAUUCCGGGAAGUAUGCCUGUUUGAGGGUCAGUAUUAAUAUAACAUCGGUUUAGUUACAAAUUGUAACGUUUCCGGAGUUUGGGUUAUCUUUACAUUUUUGGUUUAGCGGAUUAAAAUUGACUUUUUAUGAGUAUUUUUAAAUGUACGUAAAUUUUUUUUAUUCGUCUAUUUUUAAUGUUAAAAUCUUAUUAUAUGCGAUCACAUUG